CCUACGGGUGACAGCAGUCGAGAAUCAUUCACAAUGGGGGAAACCCUGAUGGUGCGACGCCGCGUGGGGGAAUGAAGGUCUUCGGAUUGUAAACCCCUGUCAUGUGGGAGCAAAUUAAAAAGAUAGUACCACAAGAGGAAGAGACGGCUAACUCUGUGCCAGCAGCCGCGGUAAUACAGAGGUCUCAAGCGUUGUUCGGAAUCACUGGGCGUAAAGCGUGCGUAGGCUGUUUCGUAAGUCGUGUGUGAAAGGCGCGGGCUCAACCCGCGGACGGCACAUGAUACUGCGAGACUAGAGUAAUGGAGGGGGAACCGGAAGUCUCGGUGUAGCAGUGAAAUGCGUAGAUAGCGAGAGGAACACUCGUGGCGAAGGCGGCCGCCUGGCCUGUUACUGACGCUGAGGCACGAAAGCGUGGGGAGCAAAUAGGAUUAGAUACCCCAGUAGUC
rnacentral:rRNA from 1 species